UACGUAGGGUGCAAGCGUUGUCCGGAAUUAUUGGGCGUAAAGAGCUUGUAGGCGGUUUGUCGCGUCUGCUGUGAAAUUUCGGGGCUCAACCCCGAACUUGCAGUGGAUACGGGCAGGCUAGAGUCAGGUAGGGGAGAACGGAAUUCCUGGUGUAGCGGUGAAAUGCGCAGAUAUCAGGAGGAACACCGGUGGCGAAGGCGGGUCUCUGGGCAGUAACCGACGCUGAGGAGCGAAAGCGUGGGGAGCGAACAGG
rnacentral:rRNA from 1 species